rnacentral:lncRNA from 1 species
GUCUACGGAGUAGUUCUUAUUACAUUAGUACAUUAUUUAUGGAACACGCACCAUGACUAUGUAGUGUUAACAUACAUCAACAACCACACUCAUAUCACCGUGGUACAUACACUCUCGAGGAUUUCGUUUGGAAUCAUCUAGUAGAAGCCGGGCCCAGGCAUGGUCUUCUGGAAGGGACAAAUGCUAACUUGCCUGAUGUUGCAAACUCUUGGUAAGUGCGUAGCAGUCUGGUAGAUACGGCUAAUUACUUGCUGCAUCUGCUGUCCCUGCAUUUGUUGUCCCUGUUGUUGUCGAACCUGUUGUUUAACGGCUUUGGAUGCUCCUUUCAAGGUUGGGCAAACGCAAAGUGGCUCUUCCUGGUGGAGCUCGUUGCAGCACUGCUGGAGCAGCGGUGGCCUCUGCUGCGGGCCCUGUUGUUGGUUCUCCACGUCGUCUUCAAAAUCAAACUCACCGUCGAGGGUCCAGCUUGGACCACUACCACCACCGGGCUGCAUUGCCUGCUU